AAACUCAAAUGAAUUGACGGGGGCCCGCACAAGCGUGGAGCAUGUGGUUUAAUUCGACGAUACGCGAAGAACCUUACCUGGCCUUGACAUACUAAAAAGCUUUAAGAGAUUAGAGUGUGCUAGCUUGCUAGAAUUUAGAUACAGGUGCUGCACGGCUGUCGUCAGCUCGUGUCGUGAGAUGUUGGGUUAAGUCCCGCAACGAGCGCAACCCUCGUGUUUAGUUGCUAACAGUUCGGCUGAGAACUCUAAACAGACUGCCUACGCAAGUAGGAGGAAGGUGAGGACGACGUCAAGUCAUCAUGGCCCUUACGGCCAGGGCUACACACGUGCUACAAUGGGGUAUACAAAGAGCAGCGAUACGGUGACGUGGAGCAAAUCUAGAAAAUGCCUCUCAGUUCGGAUUGUAGUCUGCAACUCGACUACAUGAAGUUGGAAUCGCUAGUAAUCGUAGAUCAGCAAUGCUACGGUGAAUACGUUCCCGGGUCUU
rnacentral:rRNA from 1 species